rnacentral:misc_RNA from 1 species
AAAUGCGCUAAUUAAUGUGAAUUGCAGAAUUCAGUGAAUCAUCGAGUCUUUGAACGCACAUUGCGCCCCCUGGUAUUCCGGGGGGCAUGCCUGUCCGAGCGUCAUUGCUGCCCUCAAGCACGGCGUGUGUGUUGGGCUUCCGUCCCUGGCAACGGGGACGGGCCCAAAAGGCAGUGGCGGCACCAUGUCUGGUCCUCGAGCGUAUGGGGCUUUGUCACCCGCUCCCGUAGGUCCAGCUGGCAGCUAGCCUCGCAACCAAUCUUUUUAACCAGGUUGACCUCGGAUCAGGUAGGGAUACCCGCUGAACUUAAGC